ACGCUCGACACCUACGGGAGCAGCAGUGGGGAAUAUUGGGCAAUGGGCGCAAGCCUGACCCAGCAACGCCGCGUGAAGGAAGAAGGCUUUCGGGUUGUAAACUUCUUUUAUUAAGGACGAAGCAAUGACGGUACUUAAUGAAUAAGCUCCGGCUAACUACGUGCCAGUAGCCGGGGUAAUCUGAGCGGGCUGGCAAGGC
rnacentral:rRNA from 1 species